rnacentral:siRNA from 1 species
UCAUCCCGCAUCGCCAGUUCUGCU